GACGAACGCUGGCGGCGUGCUUAACACAUGCAAGUCGAACGGAAAGGCCCUGCUUUUGUGGGGUGCUCGAGUGGCGAACGGGUGAGUAACACGUGAGUAACCUGCCCUUGACUUUGGGAUAACUUCAGGAAACUGGGGCUAAUACCGGAUAGGAGCUCCUGCUGCAUGGUGGGGGUUGGAAAGUUUCGGCGGUUGGGGAUGGACUCGCGGCUUAUCAGCUUGUUGGUGGGGUAGUGGCUUACCAAGGCUUUGACGGGUAGCCGGCCUGAGAGGGUGACCGGCCACAUUGGGACUGAGAGACGGCGCAGACUCCUACGGGAGGCAGCAGUGGGGAAUAUUGCACAAUGGGCGGAAGCCUGAUGCGGCAACGCCGCGUGCGGGAUGACGGCCUUCGGGUUGUAAACCGCUUUCGCCUGUGACGAAGCGUGAGUGACGGUAAUGGGUAAAGAAGCACCGGCUAACUACGUG
rnacentral:rRNA from 1 species